rnacentral:lncRNA from 1 species
GUGAGCGGAGCCAGAGCCUCGCCCGCCUCCCGCCCGCGCUCCCCGCCGCCGCCGCCAGCGCCGCUGCAGUGAUUCCUCGUCUCCAUCUAGCGAGGCUAUUGUGUAUUGGGCGCUUAAUAAUUUAUUUAUUCACCCUGGAGGCUGAGGACUCCCAGCUGCUGGGGAUCUUGCCCCUUGCUUGCCCUUUCCCCAAGUUUAUCCUGAGACUGGGAGAAGGUGGGAGGAUCUGUCUUGUAGAGACCCCCUCUGCUCUCUGUCUUUGCGGACCCCCAUUCCUCACAGGCUCCGCGGGUCCCAGGACUGUAAGGUGCAGGCCACCGCUCCGGAGGCCAAGUACUUUGUCCCCCCUGCCCUUUGCAGCCGGGCAGUGGGGGCGUGCCUCCAUCCCCCUUCGCAUGCCGGAGGGAGUUGCGAUGGCCUUGGGGAGGGUCUUCCACCACUGCUUUCCUCAACAUCUGCAAAUUCCUCUUCAAGCCAAGACUAUCAACAAGUCGGUUGCGGGAAGGAGCCUGCUACGUCUCCAGCAGACAAGCUACUCCUCGCUUCCGAAGAAGCUUGGCAGGCGCGCUCUGGUCUUUCAGACCAACGUCUUGGCGACCUUCUUCAUGUCAGAGCCCCAGGACGCGAUAGAUACUCUUCUCCGUAGGACUCUAGGGAUCCGGAUCCGCCCCUCCACUGCACUGGGGAUGGAACUCAGUACCUUCUGCUUGGGAGGCAGGCGCGUUGCCACUGAGCUAAAUGCCUGGCCCUGCAUUAUCUAAUCUGGUCUUCAGCAUUCCUAUACUGGACCUCUAUGUACCAAUGCACCUCUUGAGAGUCACCUGGCCCUCAUCUUCCUGGCCCAUCCAACACUGCAGAAUGUCACAGCCUCCCUUAGGGUGAAGACAAGCUCCAUUGCAGAUCUCUCAUGCCACAGUAGGACCCAGGGAUGUGCUGGCUCCUCUCGCCCUUUCUGGGUAUAGAUGGUGACCCACACACUGUCACACAGGAUCUGCUUACAGAGGCCACUUGGCAGCUCUACUCAGAAAUGGAAAGGAGUUAAACUUUGGGGGAAAACUUUGGCCAAUGAAAGGCAGGAGAUGAAAGGAACCCAGCAUACGGAUUCCAGUGGUUCCAGUUGACCUGUCAGGAGGUGUCCAGUAGGUGAUUAAGCAACUGGCAAUGUUUUCUCCAGAUAUGUGGCCAGCUUGAUAAUUCACAACUUUGUAUUUGCUCCCCGCCUUACUACCACUUUUCCCUUGUUUUUCUUACCCUAGGAUUUUAUCCCUCAAUAAAGU